rnacentral:rRNA from 1 species
GGGGGGUGAUGGCGUGCCUAUUGAAGAAUGAGCCUGCGAGUCGCCGCCGCGUCGCGAGGUUAACCCGUGUGGGGGAGCCGUAGCGACAGCGAGUCCGAAUGGGGCGCCCAGUGGCGCGGCGCGGACCCGAAGCGGGGUGAUCUACCCAUGGCCAGGUUGAAGCACGUGUAAGAGCGUGUGGAGGACCGCACCCGCCUCAGUUGAAAAUGGGGGGGAUGAGCUGUGGGUAGGGGUGAAAGGCCAAUCAAACCCCGUGAUAGCUGGUUCUCCCCGAAAUGCAUUUGGGUGCAGCGUCCCGUGCUCCCCGGCGGAGGUAGAGCUACCGGUUGGCUGAUGGGCCCCACAGGGUUACUGGCGUCAGCCGAACUCCGAAUGCCGUCGGGCGGUGAGCGGGGCAGUGAGACCGCGGGGGAUAAGCUUCGCGGUCGAGAGGGGAACAGCCCGGAUCGCCGGCUAAGGCCCCCAAGCGCGCGCUAAGUGGGAAAGGAUGUGCGGUCGCGGUGACAACCAGGAGGUUGGCUUAGAAGCAGCCAUCCUUGAAAGAGUGCGUAAUAGCUCACUGGUCAAGUGGUCGUGCGCCGACAAUUGAGCGGGGCUCAAGCGCGCCGCCGAAGCCGCGGAUCCGCCGCGAUAGGGCCCGGCCGCCCCCUGUGGGGGGGCGGUGGGGCGCGGCGGGUGGUAGGGGAGCGUCCCGCGCGGGGUGAAGCCGCCGGGUGACCGGGGGUGGACGGCGCGGGAGUGAGAAUGCAGGCAUGAGUAGCGAUACUGGGGUGGGAAGCCCCAGCGCCGCGUGACCAAGGGUUCCAGGGCCAGGCUAGUCCGCCCUGGGUGAGUCGGGACCUAAGGCGAGGCCGACGGGCGUAGUCGAUGGAUGACGGGUUGAUAUUCCCGUACCGGACCGGAUACCGACCGUGCCGACGCGCGGGUGCUGACCCACGCCCCGCGCCGCCCGUGUACGCCCCCGCGUCCCGGUCUUCGGGCCGGGCGGGGGCGGGGCGGCGGGGGUCUGGGGACCCUCCGCGCAGGUAGGCAAGCGUAUUAACAGGGGUGACGCGCAGUGGUGGCCCCGCGGGUCUGAUGGCUCGGCCCGUUCAAGCGCGCGGCCCGCCGCCCAGGCAAAUCCGGGCGGCUGCCUUCGAUGGCGGGGGUGAGGCGCGAUGGUGACCCGGCCCGGUGGGGCCGGGGAAGUAGGGUGAUCCUGUGGCGCCGAGAAAAGCCUCGACGCGAGGGGCCGGUCCGCCCGUACCCCAAACCGACACAGGUGGUCGGGCAGAGCAUGCCCAGGCGCACGGGCGAACCGUGGUGAAGGAACUCGGCAAAACGCCCCCGUAACUUCGGGAGAAGGGGGGCCCGAACCCUGAGGCCCCGAGCGGGCUGGGGGUGAGGGUCGCAGAGGCCAGGGGGGAGCGACUGUUUACUAAAAACACAGGUCCGUGCGAAGCCGCAAGGCGAUGUAUACGGACUGACGCCUGCCCGGUGCUGGAAGGUCAAGAGGACCCGUCAGCCCCCCUUGCGGGGGUGAAGCGGUGAAUUCAAGCCCCAGUGAACGGCGGUGGUAACUAUAACCAUCCUAAGGUAGCGAAAUUCCUUGUCGGGUAAG